AUAAACGCUGGCGGCGCACAUAAGACAUGCAAGUCGAACGGAAGUCGUUAUAUUGAUUUGGAUUCUGAUUUGAAGAUUUAUCUGAUAUGAAGUUGAAGAAGAUAUAUAACAAUGGCUUUAGUGGCGGACUGGUGAGUAACGCGUAAGCAAUCUGCCUAUUAGAGGGGAAUAACAGUGAGAAAUCACUGCUAAUACCGCAUAUGCCAUAGUUAUCACAUGAUAAUAGUGGGAAAGGAGCAAUCCGCUAAUAGAUGAGCUUGCGUCUGAUUAGCUAGUUGGUGGGGUAACGGCCUACCAAGGCGACGAUCAGUAGCCGGACUGAGAGGUUGAACGGCCACAUUGGGACUGAGAUACGGCCCAGACUCCUACGGGAGGCAGCAGUCGGGAAUAUUGCGCAAUGGAGGAAACUCUGACGCAGUGACGCCGCGUAUAGGAAGAAGGUUUUCGGAUUGUAAACUAUUGUCGUUAGGGAAGAUACAAGACAGUACCUAAGGAGGAAGCUCCGGCUAACUACGUGCCAGCAGCCGCGGUAAUACGUAGGGAGCAAGCGUUAUCCGGAUUUAUUGGGUGUAAAGGGUGCGUAGACGGGAAAUUAAGUUAGUUGUGAAAUCCCUCGGCUUAACUGAGGAACUGCAACUAAAACUGGUUUUCUUGAGUGCGGGAGAGGAAAGUGGAAUUCCUAGUGUAGCGGUGAAAUGCGUAGAUAUUAGGAGGAAUACCAGUGGCGAAGGCGACUUUCUGGACCGUAACUGACGUUGAGGCACGAAAGUGUGGGGAGCAAACAGGAUUAGAUACCCUGGUAGUCCACACCGUAAACGAUGGAUACUAGGUGUAGGGUGUAUUAAGCAUUCUGUGCCGUCGCAAACGCAAUAAGUAUCCCACCUGGGGAGUACGGCCGCAAGGUUGAAACUCAAAGGAAUUGACGGGGGCCCCACAAGCAGUGGAGUAUGUGGUUUAAUUCGAAGCAACGCGAAGAACCUUACCAGGGCUUGACAUAUGCAGGAAUAUGUUAGAGAUAGCAUAGCUCUUCGGAGUCUGCAUACAGGUGGUGCAUGGUUGUCGUCAGCUCGUGUCGUGAGAUGUUGGGUUAAGUCCCGCAACGAGCGCAACCCCUGUGAUUAGUUGCCAACACGUAAAGGUGGGAACUCUAAUCAGACUGCCGGUGAUAAAUCGGAGGAAGGUGGGGACGACGUCAAAUCAUCAUGCCCUUUAUGUCCUGGGCUACACACGUACUACAAUGGCCGCUACAGAGGGAAGCUAAGUAGUGAUAUGGAGCAAAACCCUAAAAACGGUCUCAGUUCGGAUUGAAGGCUGAAAUUCGCCUUCAUGAAGCUGGAAUUGCUAGUAAUGGCAGGUCAGCAUACUGCCGUGAAUACGUUCCCGGGCCUUGUACACACCGCCCGUCACACCAUGAGAGUUGGGGAUACCCGAAGCCUGUGAGCUAACUUAUAGAGGCAGCAGUCGAAGGUAGAAUCAAUGAUUGGGGUG
rnacentral:rRNA from 1 species